AGUGAACGCUGGCGGUAGGCCUAACACAUGCAAGUCGAACGGCAGCACAGGAGAGCUUGCUCUCUGGGUGGCGAGUGGCGGACGGGUGAGGAAUACAUCGGAAUCUACUUUUUCGUGGGGGAUAACGUAGGGAAACUUACGCUAAUACCGCAUACGACCUACGGGUGAAAGCAGGGGAUCUUCGGACCUUGCGCGAUUGAAUGAGCCGAUGUCGGAUUAGCUAGUUGGCGGGGUAAAGGCCCACCAAGGCGACGAUCCGUAGCUGGUCUGAGAGGAUGAUCAGCCACACUGGAACUGAGACACGGUCCAGACUCCUACGGGAGGCAGCAGUGGGGAAUAUUGGACAAUGGGCGCAAGCCUGAUCCAGCCAUACCGCGUGGGUGAAGAAGGCCUUCGGGUUGUAAAGCCCUUUUGUUGGGAAAGAAAUCCAUCUGGUUAAUACCCGGGUGGGAUGACGGUACCCAAAGAAUAAGCACCGGCUAACUUCGUGCCAGCCGCCGCCGUAA
rnacentral:rRNA from 1 species